rnacentral:misc_RNA from 1 species
GUUCUUCAUGUAUAGCUGAGACCUGUUCCUCCUGGUUUUGCAUUGCUGCUUCAACCAAUUCCCUUGCAUUGACUUCCUCUUGCAGCUUCAACUUGAUGCCUUCUAACUCAGAAACCUUUGCAUGAAGAUCUUCUCUAGUUGAACUGAGCAAAUUCUCCAAUGCCAAGAUGUCUUCCUUCACCUGAGAUUCUGAAGCUUUCCUCAGGUCCAAUUCUUGUGUCAGUUCAUUUAUGAGAACCUCCUUUGAAGAGAGUCUUUGCUCCAUGUCCAGCAGUUGUGAUUUUGAAAGUGCCAAUUCUUCAUUAACUGCUACGAGUUCUGCUGUAGAGUUCUCAAGGGCUUCUUCAACUUUCUGGUUUUCUGCAAUCUUCUCAUAAAGGCCAUUGACUUCCUCUUGAAGCGAAGCCAUCUGUUCUUCCAUUUCUUUUGCACUUGCUUUUGCUUCUUCAAGCAGCCUUUCAAACUCCAAAGCCCUUUGUGUCUCAGAUUCAGCAUGUGAACCACUUUGUUUGUGCAACUCCUCAAACCUCUUUAACUCACCUUCAGAAAGUUGCAGCUUUUGCUCCAACUCUUGCAAACUCUU